rnacentral:rRNA from 1 species
GACGAACGCUGGCGGCGUGCUUAACACAUGCAAGUCGAACGAUGAAGCCGGAGCUUGCUCUGGUGAAUUAGUGGCGAACGGGUGAGUAACACGUGAGUAACCUGCCCUUGACUCUGGGAUAACUGCGGGAAACUGUAGCUAAUACCGGAUACGACCCUCGGAGGCAUCUCCUGGGGGUGGAAAGAAUUUCGGUCAAGGAUGGACUCGCGGCCUAUCAGCUAGUUGGUGAGGUAAAGGCUCACCAAGGCGACGACGGGUAGCCGGCCUGAGAGGGUGGCCGGCCACACUGGGACUGAGACACGGCCCAGACUCCUACGGGAGGCAGCAGUGGGGAAUAUUGCACAAUGGGCGCAAGCCUGAUGCAGCAACGCCGCGUGAGGGAUGACGGCCUUCGGGUUGUAAACCGCCUUCAGCAGGGAAGAAGCCGCAAGGUGACGGUACCUGCGGAAGAAGCACCGGCUAACUACGUGCCAGCCGCCGCCGUAA